UAAAAUUUCCUGAAGAAAAAAAAUUAUGACACUGAUGGAUUUCCAUAGAGUUACUAUUUGAUUGGAUCAAUCAUAAUUCCUUGAAAGACAGGCCCCAGGACCGAAUCUACAAGGAAUUAUGAUUAAUCUAAUCCCUUACUACUAUGAAAAGCCACCAACAACAUAUUUUUACACCAUUAAAUAAGCUCUGCCAAUUGAAAAAGGAAAAGAGCAUGCAUUAGUAGUGAAAGCAAUAAAGCACACAAAAGUGUGCUGCCUGCUUUAGAGAGCAAUUUAAAAGAACACAUUCACAUACAUUUUAAAUGAUCGCGUUACUGGCUUUCCAUAGUUGAGAUUGAUGUGAUUAAUCAGAGCACUUUGUAACACAGUGCCCCAUAAUUUUUUUUUAAAUCACCAGGUAGCAAAUAUUGCAGCUUAAUUUCAUGACAUCACAGGAAAAAUUUGUUUCUAACAUUUCAAAAAUAUUUCCUGGUAUUUUAAAUCAAAUUUCUCUUACAUAUAACUACAAAUAUUCAAAUCUAUGAAAAUUCAUCAUUAUAAAAAAAUGAAUGCUUAGCGCACCUUCACACCAAAAACAUUUUUUACUUGUGUAAAAGCGAUAUUAUCACAAUGUUAAAUACUCCAAUGAAUCUAAAUUUCACUUUUCAAAAGAGACAUUAGCCCUUGGCUUGCAAGUGUGGAGUGAUGUGUAAAUAAUAAGGGAAACUGUUGUAAGAGAUAAAUAUUGCAAUCAUUGAAUAUGACACUUAUAUUACAAGUAAAGUUUGAGGUUGAACAUUUAGUGAAAGAAAGUCAUAACGGGGAAAUAAGGAGAAUAACAAAUCAUAGGGAACUUGAUUCUGACACUGAAAUUUAGAACAAAAAUCACUCAUCUAUUCCAUUAUGGGCAAUUUCAUGUCAUAUCGAGUAUCAAAGUAGAUUGCAUACAUAUACUUAUGAAUCAUUUGGCUAUGCUGGGGAAGAUAUUCAAAAUUUAGAGGUCGAACAGAACUAGGUUUGACAGGAAAUUUUAUGGUCUCAAAACACUCGUCUAUCUAUUUUAUUUCAUUUCAAGCAAUUUCAUAUCAUAAUAGGUCUCAAAGUAGACCGUAAUAUUGUAUUUAUAUCGUUGAGGCCAAAUGUAAAUGCUUUCAAAACAAACAAGAACAAUUCCAAACCUGUAUUAUCCCUCCUCUUUAAGCAAGGCAAAGGGAAUCUUCUACACUACUUGAUGUCAAUUUGGUAUUAUUGGGUAAUUUGAAGAUUGGUGCCGACAACUGCAUUUGGUGUUUGAUCGAAAGACCAAGGUCAUUUCAAGUUGAGCUAUCAGAUAUUGUAACCCGUACAUCGAAGAGAAGACCGCUGCAAAAGCAUAUCACAAGAGUCUGUUUUGUGUUCAGGGCAUACAUAGUUGGUGGAGUGCAAGGCAAUGAGCAUACCCAAACUCAACUAUUGUUGUGUAACAUGUGAAAUAACAUCAUUCACCAAGAUAGUGGGGAGGCAAGUGAACUGGCAAUAGG